GGGAUUAGUGGCGAACGGGUGAGUAACACGUGGGCAAUCUGCCCUUCACUCUGGGACAAGCCCUGGAAACGGGGUCUAAUACCGGAUAACACUUCCACUCUCCUGGGUGGAGGUUAAAAGCUCCGGCGGUGAAGGAUGAGCCCGCGGCCUAUCAGCUUGUUGGUGAGGUAAUGGCUCACCAAGGCGACGACGGGUAGCCGGCCUGAGAGGGCGACCGGCCACACUGGGACUGAGACACGGCCCAGACUCCUACGGGAGGCAGCAGUGGGGAAUAUUGCACAAUGGGCGAAAGCCUGAUGCAGCGACGCCGCGUGAGGGAUGACGGCCUUCGGGUUGUAAACCUCUUUCAGCAGGGAAGAAGCGAAAGUGACGGUACCUGCAGAAGAAGCGCCGGCUAACUACGUGCCAGCAGCCGCGGUAAUACGUAGGGCGCAAGCGUUGUCCGGAAUUAUUGGGCGUAAAGAGCUCGUAGGCGGCUUG
rnacentral:rRNA from 1 species